GGCGCAAGCCUGAUGCAGCGACGCCGCGUGAGGGAUGACGGCCUUCGGGUUGUAAACCUCUGUUAGCAUCGAAGAAGCGAAAGUGACGGUAGGUGCAGAGAAAGCGCCGGCUAACUACGUGCCAGCAGCCGCGGUAAUACGUAGGGCGCGAGCGUUGUCCGGAAUUAUUGGGCGUAAAGAGCUUGUAGGCGGUUGGUCGCGUCUGCUGUGAAAGGCUGGGGCUUAACCCUGGUUUUGUAGUGGGUACGGGCUAACUAGAGUGCAGUAGGGGAGACUGGAAUUCCUGGUGUAGCGGUGGAAUGCGCAGAUAUCAGGAGGAACACCGAUGGCGAAGGCAGGUCUCUGGGCUGUAACUGACGCUGAGAAGCGAAAGCAUGGGGAGCGAACAGGAUUAGAUACCCUGGUAGUCCAUGCCGUAAACGUUGGGCACUAGGUGUGGGGGACAUUCCACGUUUUCCGCGCCGUAGCUAACGCAUUAAGUGCCCGCCUGGGGGUACGGCCGCAAGGCUAAAACUCAAAGAAAUUGACGGGGGCCCGCACAAGCGGCGGAGCAUGCGGAUUAAUUCGAUGCAACGCGAAGAACCU
rnacentral:rRNA from 1 species